rnacentral:rRNA from 1 species
UACAGAGGGGGCAAGCGUUAUUCGGAAUUAUUGGGCGUAAAGGGCGCGUAGGCGGCCUGGCAAGUGACGGGUGAAAUCCCUCGGCUUAACCGAGGAACUGCCUGUCAAACUGCCUGGCUUGAGACCGGGAGAGGUGAGUGGAAUCCCCAGUGUAGCGGUGAAAUGCGUAGAUAUUGGGGGGAACACCAGUGGCGAAGGCGGCUCACUGGACCGGUACUGACGCUGAGGCGCGAAAGCGUGGGGAGCAAACAGG